rnacentral:rRNA from 1 species
CAAUAGCGUAUAUUUAAGUUGUUGCAGUUAAAAAGCUCGUAGUUGGAUUUCGGGUGGGACGCAGCGGUCUCGCAUUGCGUUUGUACUGCUGCAGCCCUCCUUCUUGCCGGGGGCGGCCUCUCGGACUUCACUGUCUGGGGGUCAGAAUCGGCGAUGUUACUUUGAGUAAAUUAGAGUGUUCAAAGCAAGCUUACGCUCUGAAUAUAAUAGCAUGGGAUAACACGACAGGACUCUGGCCUAUCGUGUUGGUCUAUAGGACCAGAGUAAUGAUUAAUAGGGACAGUUGGGGGUAUUCGUAUUCCUGUGGAAGAGGUGAAAUUCUUGGAUCACAGGAAGACGAUCUUAGGCGAAAGCAUUUACCAUGGAUGUUUNCAUUAA